UGAUAGUGUAGUAGCGAGCGCCACACUGUGUCGAAAAUGUAAAAGGGAGUGUCACGUCCGCGACGUUGCGAGUAUAAAUUUUUUCGACACCGGUAUAAAACAGACGGGCAAGCCGGCAUUCGCUAACAAAUCUAACUGUCAGGGCCCCGAUUCUCUAACUCACUCGUAACUUUGCGUAUACGCAACUUACGAGUGGUUGAAAUGCGUAUACGUUUACUAUUCGAUCACCGAUGCGUAUUCUGUAACACAAUUUACGGUCGUUCGUAUUUAGAUACGUGUACGUAUCUUUUGUACGAAUGCAAUACGCGGCAACACUGGAUUGGUGUACUAUCCAGUACUAUCUUUAUUAAAAACAUGGCGUAGUUGCCAGUAACACGUGCUUUAUUUUUCAACGCUUAUUUUGCGUAAUAAUUUUGUAUGUUGAUUAAAAAAAAAAAAACGAAAAUGGAUGCAAGAAAACGUGGUGCGAAUGUAACAGAAGAACAAAAAAUACUAUUAUUACAAUUUAUGGAAAAAAAUCCGCGUUUGAUGUCCGGUAAAUUUUUUGCUGAUUUUACAUUUAAAGAUGCAACUAUUUUGUGGCAAAAGCUUGCAGAUAUCUUAAAUAGUUGCAAUGGUGUAAGCAAGGAAAUCUUGGCGAAAGUGCUGGCAAGAUUUGCGAUCACGUAGUAAAUCAAAACAAAGCAAAAUAAAUGCAGAACGAAGGAAAACUGGUGGAGGAAAUGAAUCUAAUCUUAAAUUAAGUAAAACGGAAGAAGCAACAUUAAAUUUAAUUUCUCCUAUACGUAUCGAUGGACACACAGAAGUUAAAGAAAGCGAAGUACAAAUAGAAUCAGAUACUGAGAUAAAUUUUGAAACUGAUGAAGUGGAAUAUCUUGAUGAAGAUAUAGAAGAUUUGAAACAAAUUGGUAUAAACAGUGCAGUCUACUUUAAUAUGGGAAAUGCAGAAACCAAAGAUGAUAAGGAGAAUACAUUAAUCGACAAUGCUGCAGGCAAUUCAGAUGAAAACGGUAAUAGUAAUGAUAGUUCAACUACACCAAUAACAAAAAAAAGAAAAAGAAUGUCACUGUCUCAAAAACUUCAAGCAACACAACAGCCAACACAGGAUCUUGCAAAUAUAGCACAAAAAACAUAUGAUAUGCAAAAUACUUAUUACGAAAAUAAGUUGUUAUUAAGGAAACAAGAAUUAAAACUUAAAGAAAGAUUAGUUAGUACAGUUGAAAAGUGCAAUCCUUCAUAAUAUAAUGUCUUUUAUUGUAAACAUAUAUGUAUUAAUAACAUUAUGUAAUUUACGACAUAUAUAUAAAUAAAUUCUGUAUUAUUCCUAA